AUUGAACGCUGGCGGCAGGCCUAACACAGGCAAGUCGAGCGGAUGAAGAGAGCUUGCUCUCUGAUUCAGCGGCGGACGGGGGGGUAAUGCUUAGGAAUCGGCCUGGUAGUGGGGGACAACGUUUCGAAAGAAACGUUAAUACCGCAUAGUCCCUACGGGAGAAAGCAGGGGACCUCCGGGCCUUGGGCUAUCAGAUGAGCCUAGGCCGGAUUAGCUAGUAGGUGAGGUAAAGGCUCACCUAGGCGACGAUCCGUAACUGGUCUGAGAGGAUGAUCAGUCACACUGGAACUGAGACACGGUCCAGACUCCUACGGGAGGCAGCAGUGGGGAAUAUUGGACAAUGGGCGAAAGCCUGAUCCAGCCAUGCCGCGUGUGUGAAGAAGGUCUUCGGAUUGUAAAGCACUUUAAGUUGGGAGGAAGGGCAGUAAGUUAAUACCUUGCUGUUUUGACGUUACCAACAGAAUAAGCACCGGCUAACUUCGUGCCAGCAGCCGCAGUAAAAC
rnacentral:rRNA from 1 species